UACGAGGGGGGCAAGCGUUGUUCGGAAUUAUUGGGCGUAAAGGGUGCGUAGGCGGUUUGGUAAGUCUGAUGUGAAAUCUAUGGGCUCAACUCAUAGUCUGCAUCGGAAACUGCCGGGCUUGAGUAUGGGAGAGGUGAGUGGAAUUCCUGGUGUAGCGGUGAAAUGCGUAGAUAUCAGGAGGAACACCUGUGGCGAAGGCGGCUUCCUGGACCGACACUGACGCUGAGGCGCGAAAGCUAGGGGAGCAAACGGG
rnacentral:rRNA from 1 species